CAGCAGCCACGGUAAUACGAAGGGUGCAAGCGUUACUCGGAAUUACUGGGCGUAAAGCGUGCGUAGGUGGUGGUUUAAGUCCGUUGUGAAAGCCCUGGGCUCAACCUGGGAAUUGCAGUGGAUACUGGGUCUCUAGAGUGUGGUAGAGGAUAGUGGAAUUUCCGGUGUAGCAGUGAAAUGCGUAGAGAUCGGAAGGAACAUCUGUGGCGAAGGCGACUAUCUGGGCCAACACUGACACUGAGGCACGAAAGCGUGGGGAGCAAACAGGAUUAGAUACCCGAGUAGUCCCUGUCUCUUAUAC
rnacentral:rRNA from 1 species